GGGUGGUAAUGCCGGAUGCUCCGACUCCUCGCAUGGGGUGUCGGGAAAGAUUUCAUCGGUAUGGGAUGGGGUCGCGUCCUAUCAGGUAGUCGGCGGGGUAACGGCCCACCGAGCCUACGACGGGUAGCCGGCCUGAGAGGGCGACCGGCCACAUUGGGACUGAGAUACGGCCCAGACUCCUACGGGAGGCAGCAGUGGGGAAUAUUGCACAAUGGGCGCAAGCCUGAUGCAGCGACGCCGCGUGCGGGAUGACGGCCUUCGGGUUGUAAACCGCUUUUGAUCGGGAGCAAGCCUUCGGGUGAGUGUACCUUUCGAAUAAGCACCGGCUAACUACGUGCCAGCAGCCGCGGUAAUACGUAGGGUGCAAGCGUUAUCCGGAAUUAUUGGGCGUAAAGGGCUCGUAGGCGGUUCGUCGCGUCCGGUGUGAAAGUCCAUCGCUUAACGGUGGAUCUGCGCCGGGUACGGGCGGGCUGGAGUGCGGUAGGGGAGACUGGAAUUCCCGGUGUAACGGUGGAAUGU
rnacentral:rRNA from 1 species